ACAGCUUUGUCUACCAACAUCGACAAUCGGCCCGGCGUCGGGGCCGGGGCGCGGGGCUCUCGGCGAGGCGGAAGGCGCAGCGGCUGGCGUAGUACUAUCGGAAUCGGCCGGGGCCUAUGUGCUUGGCCGUUGGCCAGGUUCAUUUCAGACACCGUUCAUAUAAUUUUAGUGUGUCGCUAUUUUAAACCUCCGCGGCUCGGCCCAUGCAUUGCUGGCGGAUUUUUUCCAGUGCGUCCCUUCCAGCCGCCGGAGUUCGGAGUAACCGCCGCGGCGUGUGGCGUGUUUUGGGCCGGCCCCGCCAGGAACGACCGAGCGAGUGUUCCCGGCUUGUGUUCCCCGGCUCGAGAGUGUCCUGCCUCGUGUCCCGUCUGUUCUGCGCCCCGGGUCCGGGUGUCCAGCGCCAAUCGGAGCCGUCGCCCUCGGCCCAGUGUGAGUGCUUAGUGGUGCGCGAUUUCGUUCGGCUCGCCCGGUUUUAGCCAUGCUAUCCCGCCAAGAGAAUUGUUGGUGCUAGUUUGGAUCAACUCUACUCGGACGUCAUCAAAAUAACUUUUUCGUCAAAGAUAGAGCCUUGAUGUGAAGGGAAUAACUAAGAUGAUAUAACGUGGAAAGGAAGAGAGCAGUUGAUGAGAACUUGUCUAAGUAGAGGGGCAUCGCGGGAAAAUUGCUUCAGUAAUGUUAAAGCUCAUUAAUGUCACAACAUGGAAAUUUUGCUGCAAUUUGAACUAAAGUCGGGUCCGGCCACGUUGUGGAAGCAUUCCGGGAUCGCUGUGAGUCCGUUUCUCCUCCAAAAUCCGAGGAAAACUCCUAGCGAAAAGCAAACUAUCGUAUUUUUCCUCAGCAAAUUCCUCCGUCCUCUUUUCUGCAUGCGUAAAUCAACAAUUAAAGUGAAGCUGAAAAGGAGGCCAUGUUCCGGUUGCGCUAGCUUGAAAAGCCAGCAACGCGCUGUUACCUGUGAUGCUGUGAGCCCCUCCGUCUGUGAUAUUAGCUCUAGUUUUAAUUUAUUUCCCGAUUCUUGGGAGUCGUGCCGUCACUGUCGGGAGUCACAAAGCGAGUGUCGGAAAUCAAACGACAAACCCAGCGCGUCUCAUCGCGACUUUCACAAGUCGGACGUUUACCGACGCAAGUCGCAUCGCGAGUGUUUCAAAUCCCACGGUAACUUUCGUGAGUCGAACGGCGAGUGUCAGAGAUCGCAGAAUCAACCGUUUGAGUUAUACCGCGAUUUCGACGAGUCGAAUUGUGAGUGUUCCAAAUCGCAAGGCAACUUUCGUGAGUUGAAAGCGGAUCGACUCGUGCCGGUUCACGAGUGUUACAACUCAAACGAAUCCGCGUGUGAGUCUUACAGGAACCAACGAGAACCCGUUCGUAAGUGUUCCGAUUCUGGAAAGAUCAGAAACGGUUGUGAGUCUUGUAAAUCUUCCGGGUACUGUCGAGAACCCCUCUUCGAUUUUUCUGAGAUUCGUCAAGAAUCCGUCUGCAAGUCCUCUGGAAAGGGUAGAAAACCCUUCUGCGAGUUUCCUGAGAACUGUCAAGAGUCUAUCUGCAAGUCCUCUGGAAAGGGUCGAAAACCCUUCUGCGAGUUUCCUGAGAACUGUCAAGAGUCUAUCUGCAAGUCCUCUGGAAAGGGUCGAAAACCCUUCUGCGAGUUUCCUGAGAACUAUCAAGUCUGUCUGCAAUUCCUCUGGAAACGGUCUAAAUUCCUUUCGCGAUCUUUCUGA
rnacentral:lncRNA from 1 species